UACGUAGGGUGCGAGCGUUGUCCGGAAUUAUUGGGCGUAAAGAGCUCGUAGGCGGUGUGUCACGUCGGCCGUGAAAAACCUGCAGCUUAACUGUGGGCGUGCGGUCGAUACGGGCAUCACUGGAGUUCGGCAGGGGAGACUGGAAUUCCUGGUGUAGCGGUGAAAUGCGCAGAUAUCAGGAGGAACACCGGUGGCGAAGGCGGGUCUCUGGGCCGAUACUGACGCUGAGGAGCGAAAGCGUGGGGAGCAAACAGGAUU
rnacentral:rRNA from 1 species